GGGAUUUGCCCUUAAACGGGGAGGGAAGGGCCAAUUCAAAUUUGAAAUCUGGCUCCGGGUCCGAGUUGUAAUUUGCAGAGAGCGCUUGGGGCUCGACCGCGGUUAAGUCCAUUGGAACAGGCGUCAUAGAGGGUGAGAAUCCCGUACGCGACCGUGGCCGAGCCCCGUGUGAAGCCUUUUGACGAGUCGAGUUGUUUGGGAAUGCAGCUCAAAUGGGUGGUAAACUUCAUCUAAAGCUAAAUACCGGCUGGAGACCGAUAGCGCACAAGUAGAGUGAUCGAAAGAUGAAAAGCACUUUGAAAAGAGAGUUAAACAGUACGUGAAAUUGUUGAAAGGGAAGCGCUUGCAACCAGAGCUGCCCGCGGGCGAUCAGCCGUCGUUCUCGGCGGUGCACUCGCCCCGCGAUCAGGCCAGCAUCGGUUCCGGCGGUCGGAUAAAGGCCUGGGAAUGUAGCCCCCCUUGGGGGGGUCUUAUAGCCCCCGGCGCCAUACGUCCCGCCGGGACCGAGGACCGCGCCUCGGCAAGGGUGCUGGCGUAAUGGUUGCAAGCGACCCGUCUUGAAACACGGACCAAGGAGUCUAACAUCUAUGCGAGUGUUCGGGCGUCAAACCCCGGCGCGAAAUGAAAGUGAACGGAGGUGAGACUCCCGCAGGGCGCAUCAUCGACCGAUCCAGAUGUCAUCGGAUGGAUUUGAGUAUGAGCAUCCGUUGGGACCCGAAAG
rnacentral:rRNA from 1 species